UCCGCUUUAAAGAUGUUGUUACGAACUGUUUGUUUUCAUAUUUGUGGCAGUGCCACUAGCUCAGGCUUUUCCCAGGGCGGAGUUUCCGCCCUGCCACACAGCUCGCAACAUAAACAUCGAUAACUAUAAACGUCUCACAACUCUACACAACGAAGGCAUUAAAUCUUACAAAUUGACGAGAACUUUAAGUUUUUUUGGCCGCAGAUGCUUUGGCCAUGCGUGCCCACCAAACCUAGGAUGCCCGGACGAUUUAACGGACAUCACCCAUUAUUUAUACGUCGGGGUCACUCCAGACGACAACGACGGCUCCAUCUCCCCCACAGUGAACACUCACUCAACCAUUCCGGUAAGCUCUCCCUUUUUAAUGAACAUAAACAUAAUUAUACUAAUGCUAACAUCAUUUAAAUUUACUUAUCAAUACCUCAUCAGGCUGAAACGGUCAAAGCGACAAGUCUAGGAAGCCUUCGAGAUUUACAAGACACCGCGGAAACUUGGCCCGCAAUUGGCGGUGCUUUUAAUGACGGCACUGAAACGGACGUAUUUACAUACGUAUAGGGUCACCUAAUCUUGAGGAGCUCCAAGGGACAAGAAGGGACGUGCGAAUCAAACCGGCAAUAGAACGGCACGACGACGACAAUUCGGACUCGCGUUUGACUCCGGAUUGAUUAACAAAGAUCGCGCGCCAGGACUGCAGUUGACGACUGUCGAAGGAAAUUGCAGCGGUCGACGACUCACGGAAUAGCCAAGAAUUGUGCCGGAGUCAAGCGAGUCCAAUGAACAUUGCUCUCCCUGCGCUCAGUAGGUAGUAGGCUUGGAACGGACUCACCGGCGGUAUCGGGAUCGUUCCAGGGAAGAUUGUGGAUUGAGAUCCUACUCCGUAAGCCCUGUCGGGCGGGUAAGUUUUCCCAAUAUGGAUGAAUUCUUUGGCGGCGAGGUUGGCGGUCUUGCUCCAAGUAAGAUGUUUUUUUGUCGACUUCCAGCGAACCGGAAUUAUUCAAACGGCCGGAUCGCCUAACCGGAUUCCCACCGAGCGCCACCGAAACCAUCGCCCUAUCGCGAUACUUAUCGAUACUCUCGAUAACUGCAAAACUCCAACAAGAGCAAAAAGGCAAAUACUGCAAUCCGAAACUCGGUUCAAACGAUAGAUGAGCGCAAAGAGAAUUAGCGUCCGCUUCCGUUAUUUUUCUAUACACGCGCACAAAUAUAACUCAUUAUGUAUAUGCAAUCUUGCGUAACCAACAGAAUUUCUUUUAUAGCUUACUGCCCUUGUCUCUUUUUUGAAUAUUGCAAACAAAUGUUGUUUCAACAACGCACUUAACAACAAAAGCGAUAUAAUUAAGUUUAAGCUUUAUUGUAUAUUGUUUAUGCCCAAAUCACCAAAUGUUGAGCUAUUAAGCUUUUUUAUUAUCUGUUUUUUUGCUAAAUAAAACGAUGAUUUAUUAUUGUAGCGAUUUUAAAUUAUUCUUUUAUUUUCUAGUUUGAAAGAAAUAUGAAUAAGUUACGAAGGCGAGUAUGAAUGAGCUACCUUAUUGCAUAACGUGAAGUCAAAGAGAGCACGCCGGAGAGAAAAAGAACAAGAGAGCGCAAGGGGUUAGCAUAGAUAACGAAAGGUUAUCGCACGGCUUAGGUACCAACGAGUUUGAUUGUCUCCAAGGUUGGUAUGUUUUUACAUUUAACAAGCUUAGUAAUUGCUGGCAGUUGCAAGACCCGACAAUUUGGUAAAAAUAUUUUAAAUUUUCAAACCAAAAAAGACAAUUGAAAAAUUUCAACUUUUUUUCAAAACUGUGGACGUGGCAGUUUUGUGCGGUUUGUAUGCGGUAGAUUGGAUGUGGCAAAC